rnacentral:tRNA from 1 species
GCUCGGGUGGUGGAAUGGUAUACACAGGAGACUUAAAAUCUCCCGCCGUAAGGCUUGCGGGUUCGAGUCCCGCCCCGAGCA